ACAACCACAGAAGCCUACCUUGCAGUGGACACCUGCACAUUAAAUGUGUGGCAACUAUGUCCUGCCUGAUACUCUUGCAGGUGUUCAGAAAAUAGACCGAAAUAAAUGUUAGAGGAGCAGGAAGUUUGGAGGUCAUGUUGUUAGGAUUGACACCUGUGGAAGGAAGGGAAAUAAGACUGAGAAGAGAGAAGCGGGCCCAUGGAGCAGUUGCAGCAGAGGCCUCAGCUCACCUACCACAGAGCUGUGGAACCUGGAUGCCCUUCAGAGUUGUCCCGAAUGGAGGUAACAAAUUU
rnacentral:lncRNA from 10 species